rnacentral:rRNA from 1 species
AGGAAACUCUGAUGCAGCGACGCCGCGUGAGGAUGAAGGUCUUCGGAUCGUAAAGCUCUGUCCUAAGGGAAGAUAGUGACGGUACCUUAGGAGGAAGCCCCGGCUAACUACGUGCCAGCAGCCGCGGUAACACGUAGGGGGCGAGCGUUGUCCGGAAUUACUGGGUGUAAAGGGUGCGUAGGCGGCCUUGCAAGUCAGAUGUGAAAGAUCACGGCUUAACUGUGGUAAGCAUUUGAAACUGUAAGGCUUGAGUGCAGGAGAGGAGAGUGGAAUUCCUAGUGUAGCGGUGAAAUGCGUAGAUAUUAGGAAGAAUAUCAGUGGCGAAGGCGGCUCUCUGGACUGCAACUGACGCUGAGGCACGAAAGCGUGGGGAGCAAACAGGAUUAGAUACCCUGGUAGUCCACGCUGUAAACGAUGAGUGCUAGGUGUCGGGGGUCAUACCUCGGUGCCGCAGUUAACGCAUUAAGCACUCCACCUGGGGAGUACGGCCGCAAGGCUGAAACUCAA